rnacentral:lncRNA from 1 species
AUGAACUUUCACGACUACUAUUCGAAAUGGAUACCUCGCGCGUAUCAUUCAUUUAACUCAAGAUAGAAGGGACAGAGUCAUCACAAUCGAACGAGCACAUCCCCAAAUGAAAUGUAACUGUUUUUCGCGAGUGAUUAUUGUGUAAUAACGAGAUCGAGAGAAGCAGGAGGCCUGGAAGGUAUCGGGCAACGGCGGAGCAAUUACGAGGUACGCGCGGGUAUCGUUGAAUCACUACGCAUUCCACAUGGAUGUUCUUGAAUCGCGGAUUAUGCGUUCGUGCGGGAGACAGCGGGGCACCCGGAGGAACCAAGGGUGCCAGCCUUGUCGCAUUGUCCCGUGCGAGAUGGCAAUUUGUAUGCUUUUGUGCUGGAACUAAGAGGACACGCCAGCUACGUUAUCUGAUGAGUGAGAAACUUUUCCUCGCCGACUACCACCAAGUUGCAUUUGCGCAAUAGCAAGUAUCAGCUGCGUUUUGUGAAACGUUCGUAAAAAAAUUACAUAUGUCUUACCUGGAUUACAAAGUUGGAGUGACGGACUACUCAAUAAACGUAUCCAUACGCGGUUCAACGGAAGUCGUAGGAAGGAAGGGUCGAAAAAGAGUCUCUUUUAAAGAGGCCCUUUUUCGGGGAGCAACUCGAUCCACCCACCCUUCAACCCUUUUUUUCCUUCAUUGAAUAAAGUAAAUACUUUUAUGCGGCUCGAGCAUCGCUUGGUGGAGACGUUCCAACGGCAAACAGCGAUCCAUCGAUUGUGGCCUUCAUAUAGGCAUUGAAACUUUCUUUCUGCAGGGCUCAGGUAUCCGAUAUCUUUCGAUUUUUAUCCUUCGUCCUCGCACAUCUACAUACAUGAAAAUUCACGCCUCCGCAAAUCGCACGUCACGCGAUUCUCUUCUCAGCUCUCACGCUACA